UCUCUCACUGCAUCUUAAUCAGUUUCGUUUAUGUAGAGGAGGGGAGGGAGCGGGGGGUGAGUCCUUGUGAGUCAGACAGACUGCAUCCUGUGCCAGGGUUACCCAAGAACACAGAGCUGAGACGUAACAGUGACUCCCUCCUGAGAAGCACAGAGAGGCCUAUCUGUCAACCAGAUCCCAUGGCAUGAGAAGUUUCCUGCCUACCCAGAGCCAGGAUCCGAGACAUCACGGUGAGGAUUCCCAACUUCAUCCAGCCCUCUGACUACUAUCCCAUGGUCCUCGUUCAUGUGAGCACGAAUGAUGUGACCAGGAGUGGUCCAGAUCAUGUCAUGAGUGACUACAGGGCUCUGGGGGCCAGGCUUAGGAAGUAAGGGGCACCAGUGAUCUUCUCACCCAUCCUUCUGGUCAGUGGUUACCACCAGCAUCAGGACACCUGCAUCAGGGAAGUCAACCGGCAGCUCCAGAGUUGGUGCCUUCAUGUGGGUUUUGGCUUCUACAACCACAAUCCAUACUUCCAUGAGAGAGGCAUCCUGGGAUGAGAUGGUCUUCAUCUCUCUUCUAAAGGUCAGCGGGUCGGACUCAAUGACCUACUGAAGUCCCUUCCAACGCUAACAUCUAUGAAUCUAUGAACAUAAAACACCAGAACUGAACAAACACCAGCCAAGCCACAGAACCAAAGACUUACCCCAUGGAUUUCAACGCAGUUAGGAGGGCAGGGUGGACAAUUUGGCCAAACCGCCCCCAAAGCCUCAUUCACCCAAGCCACCUCAUGAACAAAGUAUGUUUACCACUGCCUCAGGCAUGGGCACGCACUCCUCCAUCCAUACCCACUCAAAGAGUGCUGGCGCUAAUGCCACCGACAGUGGUUCUAGUCCAUACUACUACUGUGUAGAUGGCCCCACACCCCGUGUCCCCACCUCUUCCCAGCACUGCACCAGUUGGAAUCCUCUGACCACCACCCGGUGUUUCGGGGCAAAGACCAAGAAUCAGAGUGCUGGACACUGAAAGCAGCAGCACCGUUUUAAUCAAGAGGCAUCAUAACAGUUCCCAAUUUGUAUUUUUGACAGAAGUGAAAAUCAUGAUUUCCAGUUAUUCCAUGAGGGAACCUUGUUUUGUGCUUGAUUAUUUAAUGACCAUCGUUGUUUGCUUCUUUGUUUGUUUCUUUGUUGGUUGUUGCUUAAAAUACUAUAAAUAAAUGUGUUUGUACUGUA